rnacentral:rRNA from 1 species
AAUAUUGGACAAUGGUGGCAACCCUGUUCCAGCCAUGCCGCGUGUGUGAAGAAGGUCUUCGGAUUGUAAAGCACUUUAAUUUGGGAGGAAGGGCUUUAGGCUAAUACCCUGAAUUUUUGACGUUACCAACAGAAUAAGCACCUGCUAACUCCGUGCCUGCAGCCGCGGUAGUACAGAGGGUGCAAGCGUUAAUCGGAAUUACUGGGCGUAAAGCGCGCGUAGGUGGUUCAGUAAGAUGGGUGUGAAAUCCCCGGGCUUAACCUGGGAACUGCUUUCAUAACUGCUGAGCUAAAGUACGGUAGAGGGUAGUGGAAUUUCCUGUGUAGCGGUGAAAUGCGUAGAUAUAGGAAGGAACACCAGUGGCGAAGGCGACUACCUGGACUGAUACUGACAUUGAGGUGCGAAAGCGUGGGGAGCAAAC